rnacentral:rRNA from 1 species
CAAGAGCGUAUGUAAAAGUUGUUGCAGUUAAAAAGCUCGUAGUUGAACCUUGGGUUUGGUUGGCCGGUCCGCUUUUUUGCGAGUACUGGAUUCAACCGAGCCUUUCCUUCUGGCUAACCAGUCGUUUCGGCGGCUGGCGAACCAGGAUUUUUACUUUGAGAAAAUUAGAGUGUUCAAAGCAGGCAUUAGCUUGAAUAUAUUAGCAUGGAAUAAUAGAAUAGGACGUUAUGGUUCUAUUUUGUUGGUUUCUAGGACCAUCGUAAUGAUUAAUAGGGACGGUCGGGGGCAUCAGUAUUCAGUUGUCAGAGGUGAUAUUCUUGGAUUUACUGAAGACUAACUACUGCGAAAGCAUUUGCCAAGGACGUUUUCAUUAA